rnacentral:rRNA from 1 species
UGGGGAAUUUUGGACAAUGGGCGAAAGCCUGAUCCAGCAAUGCCGCGUGUGUGAAGAAGGCCUUCGGGUUGUAAAGCACUUUUGUCCGGAAAGAAAUCCUCUGGGUUAAUACCUCGGGGGGAUGACGGUACCGGAAGAAUAAGCACCGGCUAACUACGUGCCAGCAGCCGCGGUAAUACGUAGGGUGCAAGCGUUAAUCGGAAUUACUGGGCGUAAAGCGUGCGCAGGCGGUUUUGUAAGACGGAUGUGAAAUCCCCGGGCUUAACCUGGGAACUGCAUUCGUGACUGCAAGGCUAGAGUAUGGCAGAGGGGGGUAGAAUUCCACGUGUAGCAGUGAAAAUGCGUAGAGAUGUGGAGGAAUACCGAUGGCGAAGGCAG